ACACAUGCAAGUCGAGGGGCAGCAUUUCAGUUUGCUUGCAAACUGGAGAUGGCGACCGGCGCACGGGUGAGUAACACGUAUCCAACCUGCCGAUAACUCGGGGAUAGCCUUUCGAAAGAAAGAUUAAUACCCGAUGGUAUAAUCAGACCGCAUGGUCUUGUUAUUAAAGAAUUUCGGUUAUCGAUGGGGAUGCGUUCCAUUAGGCAGUUGGUGAGGUAACGGCUCACCAAACCUUCGAUGGAUAGGGGUUCUGAGAGGAAGGUCCCCCACAUUGGAACUGAGACACGGUCCAAACUCCUACGGGAGGCAGCAGUGAGGAAUAUUGGUCAAUGGGCGCAGGCCUGAACCAGCCAAGUAGCGUGAAGGAUGACUGCCCUAUGGGUUGUAAACUUCUUUUAUAUGGGAAUAAAGUUUUCCACGUGUGGAAUUUUGUAUGUACCAUAUGAAUAAGGAUCGGCUAACUCCGUGCCAGCAGCCGCGGUAAUACGGAGGAUCCGAGCGUUAUCCGGAUUUAUUGGGUUUAAAGGGAGCGUAGGUGGACAGUUAAGUCAGUUGUGAAAGUUUGCGGCUCAACCGUAGAAUUGCAGUUGAUACUGGCUGUCUUGAGUACAGUAGAGGUGGGCGGAAUUCGUGGUGUAGCGGUGAAAUGCUUAGAUAUCACGAAGAACUCCGAUUGCGAAGGCAGCUCACUGGACUGCAACUGACACUGAUGCUCGAAAGUGUGGGUAUCAAACAGGAUUAGAUACCCUGGUAGUCCACACAGUAAACGAUGAAUACUCGCUGUUUGCGAUAUACAGUAAG
rnacentral:rRNA from 1 species